rnacentral:rRNA from 1 species
UACGGAGGGGGCUAGCGUUGUUCGGAAUUACUGGGCGUAAAGCGUGCGCAGGCGGUGAUGUAAGACAGAUGUGAAAUCCCCGGGCUCAACCUGGGAGCUGCAUUUGUGACUGCAUCGCUGGAGUGCGGCAGAGGGGGAUGGAAUUCCGCGUGUAGCAGUGAAAUGCGUAGAUAUGCGGAGGAACACCGAUGGCGAAGGCAAUCCCCUGGGCCUGCACUGACGCUCAUGCACGAAAGCGUGGGGAGCAAACAGG